rnacentral:rRNA from 1 species
UACGUAGGGGGCAAGCGUUGUCCGGAUUUAUUGGGCGUAAAGAGCGUGUAGGCGGCCAUACAGGUCAGCUGUGAAAACUCGAGGCUCAACCUCGAGACGUCGGUUGAAACCGUAUGGCUAGAGUCCGGAAGAGGAGAGUGGAAUUCCCGGUGUAGCGGUGAAAUGCGCAGAUAUCGGGAAGAACACCCGUGGCGAAGGCGGCUCUCUGGAACGGUACUGACGCUGAGGCGCGAAAGCGUGGGGAGCGAACAGG